CACGUAGGGUGCAAGCGUUGUCCGGAAUUAUUGGGCGUAAAGAGCGUGUAGGCGGCCAGGUAGGUCGGCUGUGAAAACUCGAGGCUCAACCUCGAGAUGUCGGCCGAAACCAUCUGGCUAGAGUCCGGAAGAGGAGAGUGGAAUUCCCGGUGUAGCGGUGAAAUGCGCAGAUAUCGGGAAGAACACCCGUGGCGAAGGCGGCUCACUGGCCCGGUACUGACGCUGAGGUGCGAAAGCGUGGGGAGCAAACAGG
rnacentral:rRNA from 1 species